CCGGGCCUACGGGAGGCAGCAGUGGGGAAUAUUGCACAAUGGGGGAAACCCUGAUGCAGCGAUGCCGCGUGGAGGAAGAAGGUUUUCGGAUUGUAAACUCCUUUUAUCAGGGACGAUAAUGACGGUACCUGAAGAAAAAGCUCCGGCUAACUACGUGCCACCAGCCGCGGUAAUACGUAGGGAGCGAGCGUUGUCCGGAAUUACUGGGUGUAAAGGGAGCGUAGACGGUUAAGUAAGUCUGGAGUGAAAGGCCGGGGCCCAACCCCGGGACUGCUCUGGCAACUAUUGAACUUGAGUGCAGGAGG
rnacentral:rRNA from 1 species